rnacentral:tRNA from 1 species
GGGAGUUUGGCCGAGUGGUUAAGGCGCCACAUUUAGGUUUUUACUUAAAAACUGUGGUAUCUUCGGAUGCGCGAGUUCGAAUCUCGUGACUCUCA